rnacentral:lncRNA from 1 species
GGCAAGUAACAUCUCUAGCACCCCCGUUUGUUUUUAUAUCAUCAAUACAAGCAACGUCAACACACAGAAAGUCAAUUCAAAUGAUAUCGUAAAUACAAGCAACGUCAACACAUCUCGUGCUAGUUUUAGGCGUACGAGAUAUAUCAUCUAGUGAUCACUCUGUCGGUCGAGUAUGUUGAAAUCCUGUGUUUCGUCAUCGUGUUUGAUUGGUCGCUAUCAAAGUAGGAGGAUAAUUUUUCAGUGCUCUAAGAAGCAACAGCAGUACUUGAGGCAGAUGAACCCCCACCGCUCGAUUGUUUGAAGAGGAACCAUCCAAAAUUCAGCUCUGCUGUAAUUUCUUCUCACUUUCUGUACGUGUGGGUGUGGGUCUUUGAAAGCGAAAUCCCUGAAACUUAAUUUUGAUACUUUCAAAAUACCUCAUAUAAAAAAUCAAAAAAUAGUUGGAAUAAUCUAAAUCCAUUACAUAUCUAAAAAGUAACAACAAAAUAAGGAAUCCCCGUAAUUUGCCACUAGGGUCAAGAAUAAAUGCAGAAGUAUAUAACAUGGGGUUUCCUUUUAAUAUUUAAGAUAUUUCUGUUUCAUAUGAAACAUGGGUACUCCUCAAAGAGGGUCGCUUUUAUAUUGUUGCAAUAAAGUAGCCAUGUCUAGAACUUUAUGCAAAAUUAAAUUAGCUAUUGGGUAAUAAAUUUCUGCCAAAGUAACAGUACAUAAUGAAAUAUUUCAAGAAAUAUGUUGUACUUCUAAACGGCAUAUCAAGCAUGCUCCGUCCAUAUCGGACUGCCAUCAGGGUUUACAGGGAUUAGGAUCAACUGCAGUUGCAGCCAUGACUGCAACUUAAAUAGUCUUGAUAGAUCCGUCAUUCAAUGUAACACCAAUGGCCAGAUCUAAGGAACUAUCUCUUCUUUCCUUUUUUUUAAUCAUGGAUAGAAAUAAUUCACUUAGAUGGAAUUAGGAAUAUAACUAGGUAAAUUAGUUGUGCUCAUUGUUCUACCCAAUAAAAAAAAUGAAACUCUCAUCUUAAGCAAAGUACUUCAUUUUUUAUUCAACAUUAUUGACUUUUAUAUCUAUGUUUAAUCAUUUGUCUUAUUCAAAAAAUUUGUAUAAAUAUAAAAAAGGUAAUUGAUGUUUAAAUUAUCUUCAGUGGUAAAAUAAAUUGCAGCAAAACAAUGAAAAUUGUGUAAUUUUUUAAAUAAGACAAACAAUAGAUUGAAAAGUCAAUCAUAUCAAAUAAAAAAAUGUAGGUAGUAAUAAAUUAUAUGGCUAGAUUAUUUUUUUCGCACUUGCUCACAUCAAACUAAAUUUAGACCUCCUAGAUACAAAUUAAUUAAUUCAUGGAGUUCAUAAUAUAAUUGACUUAGAUUUACAAAAUAAUCUGAUUGGAUUGCCCUUAGGCACUACUUUGCCCAAUUUUGGAAGUUGGGUGUAAAAUGUCCGGUUUCAUAGUUAGAGGGUUAACUCUAAUCAUAGCUGAGGGGGCAAAAUAGAAUUUACCCUGUUCUAUUAAACUGAUGCAAAAAUGCAAUUGUGAAGAAUAUUUUAGUUAUAUGAUAAAUCAAAUUGAGCUUAGUCCAAGCUCGUUCCAACUGUUAUUUCGUCUCAAAUGUGCCAAAUUCUGAUAAUCCAGUUUGCCAGUUAGAUUAAAAAGGGCUAGCUAAACAGCAAAAUUUCAUGGUUUUUUCGCUAUAUCCUUUUGAAAUCCAAAUGCGCAGUCUCAUCGCCAGUUUAAAUGGGCACCAAGCUAAUUAUUUCGGCAUCUGGUAAGAACGCGGAAGAGAAACAGGUAUAAUCUACUGACUGUGUUUGUCGAGGAACCAUAAGCGAGUGUAAAGCUUAUAUUUAAAAGUCAAAAUUUUCAAGCUUAAAAUUAUUGUUGAUUUUAGGGUUUUUUUCAUUAUAGUUUAUUUUCAGCUUUAGAUCACCAAAAACAAAUAAAUAAAAGUCUUAUUUAUAAAUUAUUUUUUAUUUGCCAAUAUGCCCUCGUAUUUUUCACGAAUAAGCCAAGUGAGAGAGCACUUACAAAAACAAUACGGUCAUGCUCGUACAGCAUGGGGGCCACUAGUGCACUGCUCCUCGCCCACCUGGCCAACUCUCCGCUUCCAAGCCUCUGCUCCCGCCACUUGCUUCUUCUGCUUCGCAGCUGCCACCUCCUCGGCUCCUCCUCCUCAUAGGCAGAUAGAUAAUCGCAUUAGAUAAACAAAACCAACGUUCCAUAGAUAAAAAGACCAGCUCUUGAUACAUGUACAGCACAGGCCCAGCCUUCA